GACGGACUAAAAUUACCUUCUUUAAUAGCGGUCAUGGGAGACGAGGCGUAUGAACCAUUAAAAAAAUUAUCAAGCGCCAAAACACUAGCUGAGAUGGAAUAUUCGGUGACGGUAUCGAUAGUGAAAAAUCAUCUACAACCGAGAGCGUUGCCGGUUUAGGCAAAGACGUAAGUCAGGCUAUCGGCGAGAACGUUGCGAGUUAUAUAGAUGAACUGAAGGGGUUGGCGCGUCACACGAUAGCAAAAAUACCAUUAUUUCAGAAGAAUAUAUAAAUAAUGAACUAAGACGGUCGAUAGAAGUAAACGAAGAGGCAUUAAAAUUCUGCGAUUAAUCAAGUUUUAGACACAACUUUAUCCAUUAGAAAAUCGACAUAAAACCAACAACUCUCCAAAGUCAUUUUACAAGAAUAUAUAAAAAGGCUGGGAAAACGGGGAAAAU